AUCAAUUUUUCAAGGGAAGAAAUAACCACAGAGGCAAUUGAGAGGUUGCAGUGGAGGCAUAGGUAUAGUUUUACAAAAGUCAACAAACAAACAAACAAAGCAUUUCAUUUCAGAAAGGAAGAAGUAUUUUGUAGCGUCAGCUACUCCUGAGAGACCAAGAAGGAGGAAACCGGUUAUGUCCGUCCUCAAAGAGGAAAAAGAACUGGAACAAAAGAUUUAUUGAAUACCUUCAGUACAAGACACUUAAUAUUAGAUAUUACAUGGAAUACCUUAUCAGCAAGAAUUAGAUACAAUUUCCCCAUUUUCUAAGUGAAGAAAUGGAGACUCAAGCAGCUUUUACAAUUUGCCAAAGGCUCACAGCUCAAACCAAGUUAUGUUCAAUUCCAAAGCUCCUCAUGUUCAAUUAUAAUCUAUUGCCUUCCAGAAGUUCAAAGUUAAGGCUGUACCCUUAGAAAAGCAUGGCUAGUGUAGAAUAAAUAUGUAUACCAGAAGGUAAUCCCUCCAUUUCUAUAAAAUUUUUAACCAUAUACAUUGGCCUUAAUAUUUUUAAUAACUAGCCUCUCAGAUUCCUAAAACACACUGAAGGAUGAAAGAAAAUAUUAUUCUUAUUUGUUAAAUAGAACUUUAAUAUUUUGAUUUCUUUAAUAAAUGUGAAGAAUUACAGUAGUGCAUGCAAUUAAAAUUUCUUUUGUUAUAUAAUUCCAUUAUUGAAUUAAAUUGCUUCAUUAAGGAAAACUACAUUUUCUUACACAUUUUGGCAUAUAUAAAUUCAUUUGUGCUUUUGCCACCUCCUCCUUGUCAAUGAUGUCUACUAAUUAUAUUCUAAAAAUGCUUCUCUCACAAAAUAGCUCAUAAUUAUUUAAAAAAUAAAAAGAGGAAAUUGUCCUUGGAGCAUAGCAUCUUGUGUUUCUGCUGCUCUUUUAAAUUUAUAAAAAUAUGGAGACUGAGAUACACAUUCAAAGCUUUGACAAUUAUGUCAGGACUACUUUCA